rnacentral:rRNA from 1 species
AUACAUGCAAGUAGAACGCUGAAGGAGGAGCUUGCUUCUCCGGGUGAGUUGCGAACGGGUGAGUAACGCGUAGGUAACCUGCCUGGUAGCGGGGGAUAACUAUUGGAAACGAUAGCUAAUACCGCAUAAGAGUAGAUGUUGCAUGACAUUUGCUUAAAAGGUGCAAUUGCAUCACUACCAGAUGGACCUGCGUUGUAUUAGCUAGUUGGUGGGGUAACGGCUCACCAAGGCGACGAUACAUAGCCGACCUGAGAGGGUGAUCGGCCACACUGGGACUGAGACACGGCCCAGACUCCUACGGGAGGCAGCAGUAGGGAAUCUUCGGCAAUGGACGGAAGUCUGACCGAGCAACGCCGCGUGAGUGAAGAAGGUUUUCGGAUCGUAAAGCUCUGUUGUAAGAGAAGAACGAGUGUGAGAGUGGAAAGUUCACACUGUGACGGUAUCUUACCAGAAAGGGACGGCUAACUACGUGCCAGCAGCCGCGGUAAUACGUAGGUCCCGAGCGUUGUCCGGAUUUAUUGGGCGUAAAGCGAGCGCAGGCGGUUAGAUAAGUCUGAAGUUAAAGGCUGUGGCUUAACCAUAGUACGCUUUGGAAACUGUUUAACUUGAGU